GUAAAACAUCAAUACUAUUUGUACCACGAACAAUAAGUAUGUUAUCUCAUCAAUUUGUAUGAUUAAGAGUAAAACGAUUCAAAGAAACAAUUAUAGACAGAAAUAAUGAUUGAUACAAUAAACCUAAUGUAGUUCUACGACUACCUGGAGGACAGUUUCGUGUAGGUGCUUUAAUUAUUACAAAAGGUGCAAUAUCGAUUGAUAUGCAUUCCAGUUGAAAAUUAGUUUCAUUGACACCUAUUACACUGGGUGCGCAAGGACCACCAAUUGUAUUAAGAGCAUAACAUGUAUUAUUGUAUUUAACCAAACCAUCUUCUAAACAUGGAUUUUUAACACAUUGUGGGAUUGCUUCUCCUUCAGGAAGAACUAAAUAAUGUUGUGGAGAACAAGGUCCUUGUCUAUAGGCUUCAUAACACGAAUCAUUUAAAGGAAGGUAUAAAAAUCUUGGUCUACAAUCGCACACCCAAGCAACAUUAUUUCCAUCACUUGGAUAAACAAGCAUAUUGGUUGGACAAUGAUCUGGUAUUGACACAGGAAUACGCUCUGUUAUCUUAACACAAAAAUGAUAUAUAUUUUUCAUCUUACAAUAUAACAAAUUUCUUAUACAUAAAAUGUACUUUUUAUAACACAUACCAUCGGUUUAUUUCCACUCACAUGAGAUAAUUCCUCAUCAUUUGGAAAUACAAUAUCUUGACAUAAAAUGAAGCAACUACAUAUUAGGAAUGCACUGUUAAAUAAUAUCCACUUCAUCUUAAAUAUACAACUUUAUUAUUUUA